rnacentral:tRNA from 1 species
GACGCCGUGGGUCGUGGGUCGUGGGUCUUGAGCCGUGCCCGCACGGGCGGGCACGGCUCCGGUGUCCGUACGGCGUCCUACGCGCCGAGGCGGCGC